ensembl:lncRNA
GGGAUAGGCUGCAAGAAGGAGACGGUAUUCACUUUUAGGACUUCCUGAGCUUUUACAGGUCCAAUUGACUGCACAAAGUCGCACAGUGGUGAGGCUAGCCUUCAGUGUAUCUGAUGCUGCAUGUGACAAAAUGGUGCUUUCAACACUAUCGCAGACAUAAAUUUGAAAGACAAGCUGGAGUGCAUCUCACCACAUGGAUCCUGGACUAUCUUACCAACCGCCCUCAGUAUGUAAGGAUCCAGACCGUGGAUUACCCUUCUACAAGUCGUGAGCUGUCACGAUUUAUCUUCUACUCCAGGAGCUGCUUUGCGGCUAAAUUGUUAAGUCAUCGUUGGAUAUGCCCUGUUGGCCCUCAUACCUAUCCUACCUGCCCAGUGGCCUAUCACUCUGCUCGGUCUUGGAUUACACCGCCUGGCCGCGGUGUUCAACACAGCAAUCUAAACACCCUGCGACGGGCUACCGCUAAUGACCUAGCUCCUCGGACUCGGAUGGCUUUAUUUAAUGUUAGGUCUCUUUCAAAUAAGGCCUUUCUCUUAAAUGACUUUUUCCUUACCACGGGACUGGAUGUUCUAUUUCUGACGGAGACAUGGACUUCUCCGGCAUGUCUUUAUCCUGUCUUCCUUCUCUCACCCCAACCGGUCGCAGCAGAUGGCCGCCCCUCC